rnacentral:rRNA from 1 species
UGAUCAGCAUGCCGCGUGAGUGAGAAGGCCCUCGGGUUGUAAAGCUCUUUCUAAUGUGAGGAAAGGUACUGUACUUGUACCUGAUUGCCGGGACAUUACCAUGACAGAAAGGCCCGGUUAACUCCGGGACCCCCGGCACUUCAAAACUGACGGGCCUAACGCGAAUCUAUUUGGUUGAGCGGGUCGCGCGCGUAGGUGGUUAGUUCAGGCAGAUGUGAAACCCCUGGGCUCAACCUGGGAACUGCACCUGAUACUGCUUGACUAAAGUACGAUAGAGGGGAGUGGAAUUUCUUGUGUAGAAGUGCAAUGCUUAAAGAUCGAAACGAACACCCUUGGGCAACGCAACUCCCUGGAUUGGAACUGACACUGAGGAGCCAAGGCGUGGGGAAGCAAACACAGAUUACAUACCCUGGUACUCCACUCCGUAUACGAUGUCAACUAUCCGUUGGGACACUUGAUGUCUUAUCCGGCGCGGCUAACGCGAUAAGUUGACCGCCUGGGGAGUACGGGCGCAAGAUUAAGCUCUGAGGGUUUGACGG